rnacentral:rRNA from 1 species
GUCUUUUUGAUAUUAAUUUAAAGUUUAACCUGCCCAAUGAUUUAUUAAAUGGCCGCAGUAAAUUGACUGUGCAAAGGUAGCAUAAUCAUUAGUUUUUUAAUUAAAAGCUGGAAUGAAUGGUUGGACGAAAUAUAAACUGUCUUAAAUUAAAAUAUAGAAUUUGAUUAUUUAGUAAAAAAGCUAAAAUAUUUUUAAAAGACGAGAAGACCCUAUAGAUCUUUAUAUUUAAUUUAUUAAAGUUAUUUAUGAAAAAAAUUUUUUUUUAAUAAUUAAAAUAUUUUAUUGGGGUAAUAAAAAGAUUUAAAUAAUUCUUUAUAUUUUAACAUUAAUUAAUGAUUUAUAAUAUUGAUCCUUUUUUAAGAUUAAAAGAUUAAGUUACCUUAGGGAUAACAGCGUAAUUUUUUUAGAGAGUUCAUAUCGAUAAAAGAGUUUGCGACCUCGAUGUUGGAUUAAAAUUUAUUUUAAGUGCAGAAGUUUAAAUUUUUGGUCUGUUCGACCAUUAAAAUUUU